GUGCUUGCUUUGGCAGCUCAUAUACUAAAAUUGAAAUGAUACAGAGAAGAUUAGCACAGCCCCUGCCCAAGGAUGACACACAAACAAAAAAAAAACUACAGGGCACC